rnacentral:rRNA from 1 species
UACGUAGGGGGCAAGCGUUGUCCGGAUUUAUUGGGCGUAAAGCGCUCGCAGGUGGUUCAUUGCGUCGUGCGUGAAAGACCCCGGCUCAACUGGGGAGGGUCGUGCGAAACGGGUGAACUAGAGGCCAGUAGGGGGAUGCGGAAUUCCGGGUGUAGUGGUGGAAUGCGUAGAGAUCGGAGGAACACCAGCGGCGAAGGCGGCAUCCUGGACUGGUCCUGACACUCAGGAGCGAAAGCGUGGGGAGCGAGUACCGG